UACGUAGGGGGCAAGCGUUGUCCGGAAUCAUUGGGCGUAAAGAGCGUGUAGGCGGUUCGAUAAGUCUGCUGUGAAAGUCCAAGGCUCAACCUUGGGAUGCCGGUGGAUACUGUCGAACUCGAGUCCGGAAGAGGAGUGUGGAAUUCCUGGUGUAGCGGUGAAAUGCGCAGAUAUCAGGAGGAACACCGAUGGCGAAGGCAGCACUCUGGGACGUGACUGACGCUGAGACGCGAAAGCGUGGGGAGCAAACAGG
rnacentral:rRNA from 1 species